GAAAACAGCAAAACAAGGGGAAAGAAAAAGUGAUUGAGCCUAUUGUGCCAAUAUCUUACUACUACUCCGGAGCAGGCAGCCGCGCCUCGGGUCAGUCAGGGGAGGAAAUCAGCUGCAGCUCCUUGCUCCCCCGCUGCACCCUCCCCCCCAUGAUCCCGUCCUCCCCCACCGUCUUCUUCACCUUCUUCGUCUUCUUCCUCCUGCAAUGCCAUGGCCGGCGCCUGCUCUUCUUCGACUUCACCAGCACACUGACUGACUGUAGUGGGGAGUGAGAGGAGCAAUGCGGUGGUGCUGCUGGUGGUGGUGG
rnacentral:lncRNA from 1 species